GGUCGCGUGGCGAAGUGGUUUAUCGCGCUGGUCUUACAAGGCAGAUUCCCCCGCCGUUUGGUCCUGGACUGGCGAGAGGAAGCUACCCCGACACACCAGAUGUCCUCGGUUCAAACCCGAGCGCGAUCA